rnacentral:lncRNA from 1 species
UUCCGCUUCAUUGGAGCUUGCCAGUAGUUGAUGUGGGCACCCCUACAAAAUCCUUUUUGGAUAAAGUGGAUUGAAGUGGAAUGGGAGGGAUUGGAGGAGAAAUUAGUUCAUUUUAAACUCAAUUCCUCAUACAAUACUCUUUCUAUUAAAACAAGCCCCUAGAGGUUUACCUCAUGGUUGCUGACCUUCUCCUUCUUGAGCACCUCCAUUGCAACCUCCUCCACCUCUCCUCCUUCUCUGACUCUGAUAAGGAUCAACUAUAAUUGACCAGCCAGCGUGGAGGAGAAGGAAGAGCAACUAACUAAAGGCGCAAUGGCCUGG